rnacentral:rRNA from 1 species
CCUACGGGAGGCAGCAGUGAGGAAUAUUGGUCAAUGGACGAGAGUCUGAACCAGCCAAGUAGCGUGAAGGAUGACUGCCCUAUGGGUUGUAAACUUCUUUUAUAUGGGAAUAAAAUGUUCCACGUGUGGGAUUUUGUAUGUACCAUAUGAAUAAGGAUCGGCUAACUCCGUGCCAGCAGCCGCGGUAAUACGGAGGAUCCGAGCGUUAUCCGGAUUUAUUGGGUUUAAAGGGAGCGUAGGUGGAUUGUUAAGUCAGUUGUGAAAGUUUGCGGCUCAACCGUAAAAUUGCAGUUGAAACUGGCAGUCUUGAGUACAGUAGAGGUGGGCGGAAUUCGUGGUGUAGCGGUGAAAUGCUUAGAUAGCACGAAGAACUCCGAUGGCGAAGGCAGUUCACUGGACUGCAACUGACACUGAGGCUCGAAAGUGUGGGUAUCAAACAGGAUUAGAUACCCCUGUAGUC